UACGAAGGGGGCUAGCGUUGCUCGGAAUCACUGGGCGUAAAGGGUGCGUAGGCGGGUCUUUAAGUCAGGGGUGAAAUCCUGGAGCUCAACUCCAGAACUGCCUUUGAUACUGAGGAUCUUGAGUACGGGAGAGGUGAGUGGAACUGCGAGUGUAGAGGUGAAAUUCGUAGAUAUUCGCAAGAACACCAGUGGCGAAGGCGGCUCACUGGCCCGGUACUGACGCUGAGGUGCGAAAGCCAGGGGAGCAAACGGG
rnacentral:rRNA from 1 species